rnacentral:rRNA from 1 species
AGAGUUUGAUCCUGGCUCAGAACGAACGCUGGCGGCAUGCUUCAUACAUGCAAGUCGAACGCGUGGCUUCGGCCACGAGUGGCGCACGGGUGAGUAACGCGUGGGAACCUGCCUUCUGGUUCGGAAUAACCACGGGAAACUGUGGCUAAUACCGGAUAAGCCCUACGGGGGAAAGAUUUAUCGCCAGUAGAGGGGCCCGCGUCCGAUUAGGUAGUUGGUGGGGUAAUAGCCUACCAAGCCGACGAUCGGUAGCUGGUCUGAGAGGAUGAUCAGCCACACUGGGACUGAGACACGGCCCAGACUCCUACGGGAGGCAGCAGUAAGGAAUAUUGGACAAUGGGCGAAAGCCUGAUCCAGCAAUGCCGCGUGAGUGAUGAAGGCCUUAGGGUUGUAAAGCUCUUUCGGCGGGGACGAUGAUGACGGUACCCGCAGAAGAAGCCCCGGCUAACUUCGUGCCAGCAGCCGCGGUAAUACGAAGGGGGCUAGCGUUGUUCGGAAUUACUGGGCGUAAAGGGCGCGUAGGCGGCGCAAGAAGUCAGGCGUGAAAGCCCCGGGCUCAACCUGGGAAUUGCGCUUGAUACUCUUGUGCUUUAGUUCGGGAGAGGAGAGUGGAAUUCCCAGUGUAGAGGUGAAAUUCGUAGAUAUUGGGAAGAACACCGGUGGCGAAGGCGGCUCUCUGGACCGAUACUGACGCUGAGGCGCGAAAGCGUGGGGAGCAAACAGGAUUAGAUACCCUAGUAGUCC